rnacentral:piRNA from 1 species
UCUUGUGUUGGAUAAUCAUUA